GGCGUUGUCCGCCGAGUCGACGUCGCCGAGUUCCUCAGCGUUGGGAGGAAGGGAAGGCGUUGGUAGCGGUAGCAGCGGGAGGUUCCAAGUGCCCGAGAUGACGUAUUUUGUACGCCGGUUACCAAGGCUCACUUCCGACUUGGAGACGAGGGUCGAUCAAAGGCAAUUUACGAUUAUUCUCCGAUGCGAGAAUCGAGCCGGUAUCUGAACUCAUCGUCACGAAGCUACCGGUGUUCUCCAACAAUUCGGAUUUAUCACUACAACACGAAUCGGUGGCUGAAUCUACGAGAGCUUCACACUCUUCUGCGCCGAUCUCUUUGCUUGAUUUUAUUCCGGAUACGUUAUAAGUCGUCU